UACGUAGGCAGCGAGCGUUGUUCGGAGUUACUGGGCGUAAAGGGUGUGUAGGCGGUUGUUUAAGUUUGGUGUGAAAUCUCCCGGCUCAACUGGGAGGGUGCGCCGAAUACUGAAUGACUAGAGUGCGGGAGAGGAAAGUGGAAUUCCUGGUGUAGCGGUGAAAUGCGUAGAUAUCAGGAGGAACACCGGUGGUGUAGACGGCUUUCUGGACCGUAACUGACGCUGAGACACGAAAGCGUGGGGUAGCAAACAGG
rnacentral:rRNA from 1 species